rnacentral:sRNA from 1 species
AGAAUAGCUGACUAGGGUUCCGGCGCCAAAUGGCGCGCGACUGGUCCGAGAGUCAGCGACCUCGAUCGACGCGACGAAAAAGAUUGCGUUUGCAGGUUACACGGCGGGACAAAAGCCCGGGAGAU